GGCCAGUUAGCUCAGUCGGCUAGAGCGUGGUGCUGAUAACACCAUGGUCGCAGGUUCGAUCCUCAUUCGGUCC
rnacentral:tRNA from 1 species